rnacentral:rRNA from 1 species
UACAGAGGGUGCAAGCGUUAAUCGGAAUUACUGGGCGUAAAGCGUGCGUAGACGGUUAUGUAAGUCGGGUGUGAAAGCCCCGGGCUCAACCUGGGAAUGCCAUUCGAGACUGCAUAGCUAGGGUGCGGAAGAGGGAAGCGGAAUUUCCGGUGUAGCGGUGAAAUGCGUAGAUAUCUGGAGGAACACCGGUGGCGAAGGCGACAUCCUGGACCGGCAUUGACGCUGAGGCGCGAAAGCCAGGGGAGCAAACGGG